rnacentral:lncRNA from 1 species
AAACAUCCAAAAUUUAAACCCAAACCCGAAAUAGACCUUAAACCCGACGUAAACAGAUCCCCAAACCCGUCAACUGAACCUAAACGGAUCCUAACUUGGACCCAAUUGACUAAACCCGAAUCACCAAGUCCAAAAUGCAACCGAAUACCCCUAGCCCAAAACCAAAACAAAUAGAAACCCUAGGGUUUCGGAAAUGGCACGAGCGCCGCAACAGUGACCUCCAGCACUGCUCUCCCCAGCCACGCACACCUCCGUACGUGCCAUGUCUGCGCCUUCGUACACGCCACGUCUCUUGCCGUACGCCGUACCUGCAAAUAGAGCCAAACAAUGCAGCAGAAAGGAGAAAAAUUGUAUUUCAUUUUUUGAUGUUGUUUUAUCUUUAUUUUUUCCAGCCUAUAAAAAAAAAGGCUAAACCUUUGUAAUUUUUUUACUGACACGCAUUCAAUAUACAAAAAAAUAGGAAUACAGAAAGGUGAUUUUCUGGGUUUUUGUUCUUUUUCAUUUUUGGCUGGUUACUUGAUUCAUUUCUUUUCUUUCUUUUUUCUAGUUUUUAUGUUCAUUAAUCGUUGGAUAAAAGAGAAACAAUAGAAAAAAAGGGAGGGACAUACCUGGUAGUGCGAUCUUAGUCCUCUUCGCCAUCAUCGGAGAACGGGCUAGGUUCGAAAGCCGUCUGAAUGCCCUCAAUGCAC